UACGGAGGAUGCAAGAGUUAUCCGGAAUGAUUGGGCGUAAAGCGUCCGCAGGUGGUUGUGUGUGUCUAUUGUCAAAGCAUCAUGCUUAACAUGAUAAAGGCAGUAGAAACUACACGACUAGAGUGCGUUCGGGGCAGAGGGAAUUCCUGGUGUAGCGGUGAAAUGCGUAGAGAUCAGGAAGAACGCCGGUGGCGAAAGCGCUCUGCUAGGCCGCAACUGACACUGAGGGACGAAAGCUAGGUGAGCGAAUGGG
rnacentral:rRNA from 1 species